rnacentral:rRNA from 1 species
AACGAACGCUGGCGGCGUGGAUAAGACAUGCAAGUCGAACGGGAUGUAUUGUAGCAAUAUGAUGCAUUCAGUGGCGCAAGGGUGCGUAACACGUGGGCAACUUACCGUAAAGUGGGGGAUAGCUCGCCGAAAGGCGAAUUAAUACCGCAUAUGGCCAGGGAUGGAGUCAUCCUGAAGCUAAAGCCGGGUUUCUGGCGCUUUACGACCGGCCCGCGGCCUAUCAGCUAGUUGGCGAGGUAACGGCUCACCAAGGCGAUGACGGGUAGCUGGUCUUAGAGGACGACCAGCCACACUGGAACUGAGACGCGGUCCAGACACCUACGGGUGGCAGCAGUCGAGAAUUUUUCUCAAUGGGGGAAACCCUGAAGGAGCGACGCCGCGUGGAGGAUGAAGGUCUUCGGAUUGUAAACUCCUGUCAUUAGGGAACAAAGCCUGCGGUUAACUGCCGUUGGGACUGAUAGUACCUGAAGAGGAAGAGACGGCUAACUCUGUGCCAGCAGCCGCCGUAACAC